GAGUGUUUCCGGAGCGCCUACUGUGUGCUCCUCCAUGGGGGUGGGGGCACUACCAGGCACAAAGGGUGCCAGUCCCCGUACCUUUGUAAGUUCGCCUCCUCCUCUGGGAGCUUGCCCUUGUGGGGAUGGGGAAACUGAGGCUCAGUCGGCUCAGAGUAACUCCCAGGUGCUAAGGGACCAGUUGUUUUGUCCGCUCAUAAGGCAAACGGCGCGGCGAAGACCACUUGGGAUAAAACCCCAAGCCUAGCGCAGAUGGUCGGCCAGGGGUGAGUACAGGCUGCACCCCAGGAGCGUGAGUGAGGCAGGCACCGUGUCGCAAUUUGGAGGUGGCCGCAUUUACUCGCUGGUCCCUGCCUUACCACGUGUGCCAGUGUCCUUUGGCCAGGAGCCUCUGGUGGGCAGUCACAAGCCCACGGAUUCCACCAGUGACCCCAGGCCUGCUCACAUGAG
ensembl:lincRNA Gm14230 predicted gene 14230